AUUGAACGCUGGCGGCAGGCCUAACACAUGCAAGUCGAGCGAGCGGCGGACGGGUGAGUAAUGUCUGGGAAACUGCCUGAUGGAGGGGGAUAACUACUGGAAAAGGUAGCUAAUACCGCAUACCAUCAGAUGUGCCCAGAUGGGAUUAGCUAGUAGGUGGGGUAACGGCGCACCUAGGGGACGAACCAUAGCUGGUCUGAGAGGAUGACCAGCCACACUGGAACUGAGACACGGUCCAGACGCCUACGGGAGGCAGCAUGGGGGAAUAUUGCACAAUGGGCGCAAGCCUGAUUCAGCCAUGCCGCGUGUGUGAAGAAGGCCUUCGGGUUGUAAAGCACUUGCAGCGGGGAGGCGGUACCCGCAGAAGAAGCACCGGCUAACUCCGUGCCAGCAGCCGCGGUAAUUC
rnacentral:rRNA from 1 species